UACGGUCUCAGUUCAGAUUGCAGGCUGCAACUCGCCUGCAUGAAGUUGGAAUUGCUAGUAAUCGCGAAUCAGAAUGUCGCGGUGAAUACGUUCCCGGGCCUUGUACACACCGCCCGUCACACCAUGAGAGUCGAUAACACCCGAAGCCUGUGAGCUAACCUUUUAGGAGGCAGCAGUCGAAGGUGGGGUUGGUGAUUGGGGUGAAGUCGUAACAAGGUAUC
rnacentral:rRNA from 1 species